GAUGAACGCUAGCGGUGUGCCUAAGGCAUGCAAGUCGAACGAUCCCUUCGGGGAUAGUGGCAGACGGGUGAGUAAUGCGUAGGAAUGUACCGUAAAGAGGGGGAUAGCUCGCCGAAAGGCGGGGUAAUACCGCAUGUUUCCGCAAGGACAAAGUCGCAAGACGCUUUACGAGCAGCCUACGUCCUAUCAGGUAGUUGGUGGAGUAAUGGUUUACCAAGCCUAUGACGGGUAGCCGGUGUGAGAGCACGAUCGGCCACAAGGUCACUGAGAUACGGGGCCUACACCUACGGGUGGCAGCAACCAGGAAUUUUGCGCAAUGGACGAAAGUCUGACGCAGCGACACCGCGUGUGGGAAGAAGCUCUUCGGAGUGUAAACCACUGUGGCAGGGGAAGAAGUUCUGACUGUACCCUGCUAGAAAGCACCUGCUAACCACGUGCCAGAAGCCUCGGUAAUACGUGGGGUGCAAGCGUUAUCCGGAUUUACUGGGCGUAAAGCGUCCGUCGGCGUUUUGAUAAGUCUUCUGUCUAAGCCUAGGGCCUAACUCUAGAUCGGCAGCAGAAACUAUCAGAAAUGAGUCUGUUUGGGGGAAGCUGGAAUUCUCGGUGGAGGGGUGAAAUCCGUAGAUAUCGAGAGGAACGCCAAGCGCGAAGGCAAGCUUCUAAGACAGUACUGACGCUCAGGGACGAAAGCUAGGGUAGCAAACCGGAUUAGAGACCCGGGUAGUCCUAGCCGUAAAUAUUGAAUGCUAGAUGGUUUGUUCUUCGAAUGGACCGUCGUAAGUUAACGCGUUAAGCAUUCCGCCUGGGGAGUACGACCGCAAGGUUAAAACUCAAAGGAAUUGACGGGGGAGCGCACAACCGGUGGAGCAUGUGGUUUAAUUCGAUACAAAGCGAAAAACCUUACCCAGAUUUGACAUGUACCUGCACGGUCUUGGAAACAAGAUCUUCUUCGAGAGUGGUACACAGGUGAUGCAUGGCUGUCGUCAGCUCGUGUCGUGAGACGUCCGCUUAAGUGCGGUAACGAGCGCAACCCCUACCGCCAGUUAUACGUGUCUGUCGGAACUGCCCUCGUUUUUCGGGGGAGGAAGGAGGGGAUGACGUCAAGUCAGCAUGUCCCUUACAUCUGGGGCUACACACAUCCUACAAUGGAACUGACAAUGGGUCGCAAGAGGGUAACCUUGAGCUAAUCCCGUAAACUGUUCCUCAGUUCAGAUUGAGGGCUGCAACUCGCCCUCAUGAAGUCGGAAUCGGUAGUAAUCGCAAAUCAGCAGGUUGCGGUGAAUACGUUCUCGCUCCUUGUACACACUGCCCGUCAAGCCAGCAAAGUUGGUAGCGCCCGAAACAGGAGACCAAAACCGCAAGGAUUGGCCCUACUACGGCGAGAUCAGCGAUGAGG
rnacentral:rRNA from 1 species